GCAACCAAAGAAAUUAGGAUCGGGGACUUGAUUACACUAGUUAAUCACUAAUGCCAUUUUGGUACCUAAUCUUGUUUAAACCUUGAGGCUUUUUGGAUGUUCGAGGGAUUUUCCACGCAUUUUGGAUGUUCGAGAGGUUUUCCAUGCAUUUUUGGAGAAAAACAUUUUUUGGGUCUUUUUCUAUUUUUUGACAUGAAAGGGAUUUUUUUGACCUUUUUUGGUAGUUUUGGAAAAAUACAAGUCUUUUUGGCUUUUUCUGAAUUUUUUUUGGCUUUUUCAUGAAUUUUUGGCUUUUUUUGGAUUUUUGGCAUUUUUUGUAAAAUAUGAAAUAUUUUUGAUUUUUUUGAUUUUUCGGAAAAUAAAAUAUUUUUAUCACUAUUUUUCGAUUUUCUGGAAAUUAAAACAUUUUUU
rnacentral:lncRNA from 1 species